GGAAAUUCUAAAGAUGAGGGGUCAGGUUUAAAGAAGGGAAGUAGGUAUGUGCCUUCUUUCUUACCACCUCCUAUGGCAACUAAGGGCAGAGAUCAUGAGAAGAAGAAGGAGGACAAGCCGAGGGAAAAAGAGAAGGGCAAGGCUAGGAACAUUGAUAAUUUUAUGGAGGAACUGAAACAUGAGCAAGAAAUGAGGGAAAGGCGUAACCAAGACCGUGAACAGUGGCGUGAUCGUCAUACUGAAAAUUCUGCUCCAUCUAGUCGGUUUGAUGAACUGCCCGAUGACUUUGAUCCUAGUGGAAGGCCUGGAUCAUUUGAUGAUGGAGACCCACAAACGACAAAUCUCUACGUAGGAAAUCUAUCACCUCAGGUUGAUGAGAAUUUUCUUUUGCGCACAUUUGGGAGAUUUGGCCCCAUUGCAAGUGUAAAAAUAAUGUGGCCAAGGACUGAAGAGGAAAGAAGGCGACAGAGGAAUUGCGGUUUUGUAGCUUUCAUGAAUAGAGCUGAUGCUCAGGCUGCAAAAGAUGAGAUGGAAGGAGUUAUUGUUUAUGAAUAUGAGUUGAAGAUUGGGUGGGGUAAAUCUGUCUCUCUGCCUUCUCAAGCACUCCCUGCUCCUCCUCCAGGACAUAUGGCUAUCAGGAGUAAGGAGGGUGCAACUGUUAUCUUAUCGGGUCCAUCAGGUCCUCCAGUUACAACUGUUCCAGGCCAGAAUUCUGAGUUGGUUCUCACUCCAAAUGUACCUGAUAU
rnacentral:misc_RNA from 1 species